ACUAAAAGGAAUUUUAAAAGGUUUUAACGAUUUACAAGGGAUUUUAAAAGGUUUUAAAAGAUUUACAAGGGAUUUUAAAAGGGUUUUAAAAAAUUUACAAAGAAUUUUAAAAGGCUUUUAAAAGAUUUACAAGGGAUUUUAAAACGUUUUUAAAAGAUUUACAAGGGAUUUUAAAAGGGUUUUAAAAGAUUUACAAGGGAUUUUAAACCUCUUGUAAAUCUUUUUAAAACCUUGUAAAUCUUGUAAAUCUCUUAUAAAUCUUUUUAA
rnacentral:sRNA from 1 species